rnacentral:misc_RNA from 1 species
GAUGAAGAACGUAGCGAAAUGCGAUAAGUAAUGUGAAUUGCAGAAUUCAGUGAAUCAUCGAAUCUUUGAACGCACAUUGCGCCUGCCAGUAUUCUGGCGGGCAUGCCUGUUCGAGCGUCAUUUCAACCAUCAAGCCCCAGGCUUGUGUUGGAGCCCUGCGGCUGCCGCAGCCUCCCAAAACCAGUGGCGGGCUCGCUAUCACACCGAGUGCAGUAGUUUACUCUUCGCUCAGGGCGUGUGGCGGGUGCUAGCCGUAAAACCCCCAACUUCUCAAGGUUGACCUCGGAUCAGGUAGGAAUACCCGCUGAACUUAAGCAUAUCAAUAAGCGGAGGA